CAGCCGCCACGGUAAUACAGAGGGUGCGAGCGUUAAUCGGAUUUACUGGGCGUAAAGCGUGCGUAGGCGGCUUCUUAAGUCGGAUGUGAAAUCCCUGAGCUUAACUUAGGAAUUGCAUUCGAUACUGGGAAGCUAGAGUAUGGGAGAGGAUGGUAGAAUUCCAGGUGUAGCGGUGAAAUGCGUAGAGAUCUGGAGGAAUACCGAUGGCGAAGGCAGCCAUCUGGCCUAAUACUGACGCUGAGGUACGAAAGCAUGGGGAGCAAACAGGAUUAGAUACCCCCGUAGUCCCUGUCUCUAUACA
rnacentral:rRNA from 1 species